rnacentral:rRNA from 1 species
AACGAACGCUGGCGGCAUGCCUAACACAUGCAAGUCGAACGAGACCUUCGGGUCUAGUGGCGCACGGGUGCGUAACGCGUGGGAACCUGCCCUUAGGUUCGGCAUAACUCCCCGAAAGGGGUGCUAAUACCGGAUAAUGUCUUCGGACCAAAGAUUUAUCGCCUUUGGAUGUGCCCGCGUUGGAUUAGCUAGUUGGUAGGGUAAAAGCCUACCAAGGCGACGAUCCAUAGCUGGUCUGAGAGGAUGAUCAGCCACACUGGGACUGAGACACGGCCCAGACUCCUACGGGAGGCAGCAGUGGGGAAUAUUGGACAAUGGGCGAAAGCCUGAUCCAGCAAUGCCGCGUGAGUGAUGAAGGCCUUAGGGUUGUAAAGCUCUUUUACCCGGGAUGAUAAUGACAGUACCGGGAGAAUAAGCUCCGGCUAACUCCGUG